GCUGGGCAUGGUGGCUCGUGCCUGUAGUCCAAGCUUCUCAGGAGGCUGAGGUGGGAGGAUCACUCGAGCCUAGGAGUUUCAGGCUGCAGUGAGCCAUGAUCACACCACUGCACUCUAGCCUGCGUGACAGAGUGAGAUCCUGUCUCUG
ensembl:misc_RNA Metazoa_SRP Metazoan signal recognition particle RNA